UUUAUGAAGAACCCUUUUCAGGUCAAGGCCUCCUCCAGAGAACUCCAUUUUGCUCUGUCUUUGGCUUUGAGCAUCCAGUUUGGUCCCGCCACUUUUUUUAUCCAACAGAUCACUUUGUUG